CCUGGUAGUGGGGGACAACGUUUCGAAAGGAACGCUAAUACCGCAUACGUCCUACGGGAGAAAGCAGGGGACCUUUGGGCCUUGCGCUAUCAGAUGAGCCUAGGUCGGAUUAGCUAGUUGGUGGGGUAAUGGCUCACCAAGGCGACGAUCCGUAACUGGUCUGAGAGGAUGAUCAGUCACACUGGAACUGAGACACGGUCCAGACUCCUACGGGAGGCAGCAGUGGGGAAUAUUGGACAAUGGGCGAAAGCCUGAUCCAGCCAUGCCGCGUGUGUGAAGAAGGUCUUCGGAUUGUAAAGCACUUUAAGUUGGGAGGAAGGGCAGUAAGUUAAUACCUUGCUGUNUUGACGUUACCGACAGAAUAAGCACCGGCUAACUCUGUGCCAGCAGCCGCGGUAAU
rnacentral:rRNA from 1 species